ACAUAAUUGGUAUUACAUUCAAUGACCUUCCGCACUCGAAGAGUGGUCUCUUUUUGUAUUUUAAAUUCUUCUUUCAUGAACAAGUUUUCCAAGAACAAAUUUAAGAAUGAUAACUUUCAAAUUCACUUUAACUGGGUCGAAGAGAUUUCUCCCUGAAAAAGUAAACUGAUUCAAAAAGGAACUUUCUCAGUCACUUUCGCUUUUAAAUGAGUUCUGUUUAAAUUCGAUUUAAUUAAGAAACUUGAAGCAUCCGACUCAACUAAUUAGUUUCGUACAUUUAAGCUAUACAAUCGAUUGCGCAUGUUAAUUUAAGCAAAUUAGUAUCGCGGAGAAAUUAAUUUGGACAGUAUAGAGCCGUAGAAACAAUACCUUUAAAUGUAAAGCCUUAUCUAUCUGCGUAUUAAACCUUCACGUGUAACGCCUACAAUUACCACCGAUGUAGGUAAGUACGUUCCCACAUUUCGUUUUUACAACCGAAACUGAAACUACAAGCUUGUGAUGCUGAAUAAUACUCAGAGAAAUUUAUAAAUAGUUACACAGAAGUAAUAUCUAUUAAUAGACACAAAAAUUCCCAGUAGUAUGCUUAUAAGGAGGUGAAAUGUUAACCGGCAAUAAUUCUUUUCCGACACAGUUUAUUUGUGGUGAUAUUAAGAAAUUUAAUACAUACUGAAUAUAAAACAACAGUUCUAUAAGAAAACGGUGCUAGCAACAAUAUUGUGGAAUUACAUAUUGGCAACUACACAUAUCCAGAACGAUCCAACUAUAUUGAAUCGGAACGUUCAUUUCUAGCAGAAAAAAAAAAGAACAGAAAGUACACAACAAACAAAACAAAAGCAAUGAGAGUAAGCGUCCUUCUACUAAUUGGGAUACUGCUGAUGGCCGUCCUAAUUGAUCGCAUAGAAUGCAAGAAACGUAGGAAACUUUGUCGAUUUAACAAAGCAAAGAUGACGUGCACUGACUUUAUUCCAAAGAGAAGAAAAUUUCGUAAAAACAAAGGCAAACCGAAAGUUGGACGCUGUGAAAAGAAGGGCGGUACAUGCGAAAUUUUCCAAGGUAGAAAGAAAGUACGUUGCUUUUGUGCAAUAUCAUUUGACGUUUGAAUGGGCUUUUAAAAAGGCAGAAAUUAUGUUAAUACGGGUAGUGCUGGGCAAAAUAGCCAAUUCUAAAAAGAAAGUAGUCGGGCAGAAUCGUCAGUAAAUAUGAUGAUAUUGUUUGUAAGUAUGUAUAUGUAAAAACUGUGACUUUAGAAUUUGGGUAUGUUUGACUUGUAUACAUGAUAAUGUUACGAAAACAAGUGUAACUUGUUUAUGGUAAUGGGAUUAUAUCAAUCGUCGCAAUUCGCAUUCAUGAAAUAAGCAAACUACUGGUGCAUACUUUAAAGCUGUACUUCAAAUAUUUAUAUCCGUAAAAUAAAUAUUUUGUUACAAUUAUUAACUGAUACGUUAAGGAAGUAUACUGUAAUAUGACUUUUGUUUCAAAGUAGUAAAAUAGGACAACAUUAAAGGGACAUUUAUGUGUUUGAUGUCAUAUGAGUAACGUCUGUCUCCCCCCUCCCCGCAUCCCCCACCCCUCCAUUUAUCAUCCUAAACAAAAAUAUUUCCGUAGAGGACCAAUAUCAGACCAAAUAACUCAUAUUUUUUAAGCUUUAAUGUCAGGUAUUGAAUGUUUGAUUAUGUCCCGACCUUUUGUUUAUGAAAAUUAGUCUUUGAUAAACUGAAUGUGUAUAUUUAUGUGUUUCUAAGUUACAGAUCUGAGAUAUCUGCAGAUUAAUAUGUUGUUUUUUUUUUUCAUUAUUACAAUUACAUUUUGCACUUUAGUGAAUAUCAACAUUUUAAGAAAUCCUUCUUGCCAUUUAUACGAGUACAGCUUGUGAUUUAUGGCAGCUAUGAAAAUUGUCUCAAGUUGACAAAAAAAGUAUUUGUGCAUUCUAUCAUGGAUUAGUUCGUAGUCAUGUAUUGUUUAUGGUUUUCUUCUGCUGGUUAUUGGUAUUGUUCCCUAGAUAUUCUGCUUAAUUCUUGAGCUUAAGAAUAAUACAUAAGACAAUACCAGUUGUAUUACCUUUAGAACUAUUAUGUAACUUUUGUUAUGUAUAUAUGGUUUUGUUUUUAUCAAAUAAUAAUUUGCUGUACAUAUGCUUUGUUAAAUUUGUUAUGUUUUGUUUUCUAAUAAAAUUUUAACAUAAA